rnacentral:lncRNA from 1 species
AGUUCCCUAGACCACCUGAUUGGCCUAUCAGUAUUGGUGUGUGGCUGACUGUUUCACUGGGAAUAUUCCUCUUAGCAGGAUUAUUUCUCUCUGCAGGUGAAAAGGGAUCAACAGCCUCAGGGUGCAGACUGAUAAGCAAUUCACUAAGCCGGGGAACCCCUCCCUCGGAGACAACUGUCUUGCUGCUUCUCUCAGAGAGAUGAUUGGAGCAAAGAGCAGAUGCGCACCUUAUCUCCAGGCUGCUGGUGCGCCCUGCUGUCUCCUGCACCAGCAGAAACUUCGUGGAAGUAAACGAUCCUCUCUUAUUCAGAUGACUUCUGGACCUGAAGUUUUAAAGCAUCGCCACACAUUACAAGUUAGUAAACACGGCUUUUUAGUCAUUCUUGCAAUGAGAAGUACAGAUUUUAUGAUAAGUCAAGGUACAUAUUUGCAGCAAAGGAAGGGAAAUAUAUUUAUAAACCUGUUUACAAAUAUGUCUGCUUGAAAGAAAGAUUUGGAGGGUACUCCCUCUCUGUAGAAAGGCGACUACACUGCUUAACGGGCAAGAAAUCCUUGGACUCCUGUUGGGCUUCUUCACAGAUUUGCCUUGCAUUUGUGGGGAAGCCUGGCUCCCAGCAACACCAGGCACUCGUCGUUCUCCAGCGAGGGCAGCCCAAGGGAGAAAGUACCAAAGCAGGAAAAGGAGUCAGAGCAAGGGCUACAGAGGUGUGGGAAAGGCUGGAUGCAAAGAGGAAAACAAGGAAGGGGGGGGGGGGGGAGAAAGGAAGGAGUUUAGAUUUGAUUAACUUCUGCAAAAAUACUGAAAGCAGGAUGUUAAGUCACAUAGCUUUUAAGCUCACUGUAAGCAAGUAGUCUAGGCCUCUCACUGAAGCACCAAGAGGGAAGUUCAGCUGCCUGUCUUCCUGGCACGUUGUGAACUCGCACGCUCUCCGCUCAGCCUAUGGAGGCUGAAAACAGCCCCAGCAUAGAGCAGUCAGCAGCUUGCUCAUUAGGGCACUUUAGGGCACUUUUCCCAACAGCAAGAAGGGUUUAAACCAGGCUCCUCCAGCAGAGAGAAUUACACACAGGUCUUUUCAUUUGCCCUGCUGGCUAUCGUAGAGACUAUAAUAACCCCCGUUGCUGAAAAGAAAUAACACCUCAAAGGGACGUUGGUUGCUAUUGCAAUACUUAAGUAUUGCAUUCUGCAAUUUGUUUAAAAAAAAAAAAAAAGCCACCAUCUCUCCAGCUAUGUUUUAAAAGAAAGCAGCAGCUGCUACUGGAUGUUGCAGGCAGCCUCCUCCCCUAGGAGAGCAUUAGGCAAACUUUGAGAAUAUGUACAGUACCCAGCCCUCCCUUGGGGUAAGCAGUGAAAUGACUUGUUUCUGGAUCCCAGCGGAUGUGGGAGUGAAUCAAAUUCUGAAUCAUUCAGCCCUACUGACACUGGCUAUCCACAGAGGCAGAGCAGCUGGGUCCAUGGGAGCUCUGGUUUGGAGGUCCCUACAGUA